rnacentral:lncRNA from 1 species
UUUGUAUUUUAAUGUUCUUUCAUUUCUAAAACAUCUACUAUCAAGCUAAAAAUAGGAACAACAAUGUAUAGACUUAAAAGGAAGCACAAACAACCAUAAUUUGGUAUAUUAAAACAUCUAUUUAUUAAAAACCACACAAACAUUAUUUUUAUCAUACAUUCAUUUAUAUCCGAACCAAGAGUUUUAUACAAUAUAUAUACACUGUAGAAUUGUGUAUGCUUUAAAACAAAACAAAUUUUUUAAGCUUCUUAUUCUUGGUCAUCUAUUUCAUUUUUCAUAAAAAAAUGGCACUGCUCAACUUGUUAUUUUAUCUGUAAACUAUACAAAUAUUUCAUUGACAGAAAAAUGGCUAAAAUAUUUCAAGAAAAAGAAUUCUAUCAUAUCAUUAAAGUUUCACAUACUUAUGAAUUAAAAGAAUUCUAAUGCAAU